rnacentral:rRNA from 1 species
UACGAAGGGGGCUAGCGUUGUUCGGAAUUACUGGGCGUAAAGCGCGCGCAGGCGGCUAUCCAAGUCAGUGGUGAAAGCCCGGAGCUCAACUCCGGAACUGCCAUUGAAACUGUUUAGCUUGAGGACGAGAGAGGUGAGUGGAAUUCCCAGUGUAGAGGUGAAACUCGUAGAUAUUGGGAAGAACACCGGUGGCGAAGGCGGCUCACUGGCUCGUUUCUGACGCUCAGGCGCGAUAGCGUGGGGAUCAAACAGG